rnacentral:rRNA from 1 species
UACGGAGGGUGCGAGCGUUGUCCGGAAUCACUGGGCGUAAAGGGCGCGUAGGCGGCUGGGGUAGUCCGUGGUGAAAGCUCGAGGCUCAACUUCGAGUCGGCCAUGGAUACUCCUCGGCUUGAGCACUGUAGAGGCAGGUGGAAUUCCGGGUGUAGCGGUGGAAUGCGUAGAGAUCCGGAAGAACACCGGUGGCGAAGGCGGCCUGCUGGGCAGUAGCUGACGCUGAGGCGCGACAGCGUGGGGAGCAAACAGG